GCCCUGUGGUUUCUGGAUGCUGUUGUUCAUGUACAGCUCUCCAGUGGAUAGAAGGGGCCAGAGUGAUUCUGUGAUUUAUGCAUGGGGCUGUUCUUCCUCAGCAGUCGCCAUAGCCCGGUCACUGAGACAUGG
rnacentral:snoRNA from 10 species